ensembl:lncRNA
CCCCCAUUCACCUCUAUGUUGUCUUCUUUUCCUUCUCACCCUCUACCCCUUCCUUCUUUCCUCAGAGCUCCUGGAUCCCCUCUAGGUGUCAUCUGACAGUCUUUUCCUGGAGAGGGGGACUGAAGUGGAGAGGGAGGAGGGAAUAAAAAGGGAUGAAGGAGGAAAAGCAGACACUAACAGACAAGGAGUGAGGGAGACACAGUCGAAGGAAGAGAGACACACUAUCGCAGCUAUGCCCGAAGCCAAGAAGCCAGCAGCCAAGACAGAUAAGGCUGCAGCAGCACCUGCUGGUGAGGAAACUGUCCCAGGGGGACAGUCCGAGCUGACCGGACUAUUUGUAGAGAGGCCAGAGAGCACUACAGUAAUCAAAGGGAAGAACGUCACCUUUGUGGCUAAAGUGGACUCAUCUGACCUGCUGAGGAAGCCCAACAUGAAAUGGCUGAAAGGGAAGUGGCUGGACCUGGGCAGCAAGGCUGGCAAGCACGUGCAGUUUAAAGAGGCCUAUGACAGGAACUCCAAGGUCUACACAUAUGAGAUGAGCAUCAUCAAAGUAGUGGAAGGAGACGCAGGUGGCUACCGUUGUGAGGUCACCUCCAAAGACAAGUGUGACAGCUGUACAUUUGAAGUCACAGUGGAAGCCGUACAAGAGGAGCAGCCCGCCAACAUCCUGGAUGCCUUCAAGCGAUCGGGAGAUGCAGGAGAGGAUGCAGGUGACCUGGACUUCAGUGCCCUCCUCAAAAAAAGGGAAAAAAAGGCRAGGGACGAGCCCAAAGAGGAUGUGGAUGUGUGGGAGAUCCUGAAGGAUGCUAAGCCAUGUGACUAUGAGAAGAUUGCCUUUGACUAYGGCAUCACAGACCUCAGGGGCCUGCUCAAGAGACUGAAGAAGAUGAAGAAGGUGGAACCCAAGAAGAGUGACGCCUUCCUGAAGAAGCUAGAGCAAUGUUACUCUGUGGACAAGGGCAAGAGGACCCAGAUGCAUGUUGAGCUCCAUGACCCCAACGUUCAGGUCAAAUGGCUGAAGAACGGAGUGGAGAUCAAACCCUCUGCCAAGUAUGUGUUUGAGUGCGUGGGCAACAAACGGACACUCACCAUCAACAAGAGCAACCUGUCUGACGAUGCAGCCUAUGAGUGUGUGGUGGGAGAGGAGAAGAGCUUCACUGAAGUCUUUGUCAAAGAGCCCCCGGUCACCAUCACCAAGCUGCUGGACGAUGUGCAUGUAGUGGUGGGAGAGAAGGUGGAGUUUGAGUGUGAGGUGUCAGAGGAAGGAGCCAACGUCAAAUGGAUGAAAGAUGGAGUUGAGCUGACCAAGGAUGGGAAGUACAGGAUAAAGAAGGAUGGGAAGAAACACACUCUGGUCAUCAAUGAAGCAACCAUAGAGGACAUCGGAAUGUACUAUGUUUACACUAAUGGGGGAGAAUCCAAAGGAGAACUGGAAGUGGAAGCCAAGGAGCUGGAGGUUCUGCAGAGUAUAGCUGACCUGUCGGUGAAGGCGUGUGAACAGGCCAUGUUCAAGUGUGAGGUGUCUGAUGAGAAGGUGGUGGGCAAGUGGUUCAAGGACGGUGUGGAGGUCAAACCCGGCAACCGCAUCAAGAUGUCACACAUCGGAAGGAUCCACAAGCUGACGAUUGAUGACGUGAAGCCGCAGGACGAAGGAAACUACACCUUUGUCCCUGAAGGAUACGCACUCUCCCUCUCCGCUAAACUCAACUUCAUUGACCCUCCCAAAAUCCACCUGGACACCAGUAGCACGGGCAGCAAGAACACCAUUGUUGUGGUGGCUGGCAACAAGCUCCGCCUUGAUGUGGAGAUCACAGGAGAGCCUGUCCCCACUGUGUGCUGGAUGAAAGGAGACACUGGCAGAGUGAGGGUGGAAACUAGGACCACUCUGAGCAGCUUUGUCAUUGAGGGGGCGGAGAGGCCAGACGAAGGCCAGUACUCUAUCAUAGUGACCAACCCAGCCGGAGAGGACAGGGCUGAGCUCAAUGUCAAGAUUGUUGAUGUGCCUAACCCUCCAGAGAACGUCAGAUGUAUGGGAGUUGGCGAGGACACAGCCACCAUUACAUGGGAUCCCCCCAAAUUUGACGGGGGUGCACCCAUCAAAGGCUACUUGAUGGAGAGGAAGAAGCAGGGUUCCUCCAGGUGGACCAAGCUGAACUUUGAGGUGUUUGAGUCAACCACGUACGAGGCUAAGAAGAUGAUUGAGGGUGUUUUUUAUGAGAUGAGAGUGUUUGCUGUCAACGGGAUCGGGAUCUCCCAGCCCAGCGGCAACUCAAAGCCCUUCAUGCCCAUAGCCCCUACCAGUGAGCCCACUCGUCUGACGGUGGAGGAUGUGACAGACAGCACCUGUGCCCUGAAGUGGCGUCCUCCAGAGAGGGUUGGAGCAGGGGGCGUUGACGGGUACAUAAUCGAGUGGUGCAAAGAAGGAGAGGAUAACUGGGUGGAAGCCAAUAAGGAGCCAGUGGACAAGAACACGUACCGUGUGAAGGGGCUGCCAACAGGAGAGAAGCUCUUGUUCAGAGUGGUGGCUAUGAACAUCACUCACACACAUUACCCAAAGAUCCGCCUGCCUCGCCAGCUAAGAACCAAGUUCAUCAGGAAAGUGGGCGAGAAGAUCAACCUGGUCAUCCCCUUCCAGGGGAAGCCUCGCCCCGUGGUCAACUGGCUGAAAGAUGGUGAGCCCCUGGAGAAUAAGUCGGUGGGCAUCCGCACCAGUGACUUUGACACCAUCCUGUUCAUCCGCUCGGCAGAAAGGGACCACUCUGGGACGUACACCCUGUCUGUCCAGAUAGACAACAUGCAGGACAAGGCUGACAUACACAUCCAGAUCGUAGGUCAGUCACUGGCACCAACAUCAUUAGGGGCUCUGGUGAAAAGUAAAAAAGUAUGUGAACCCUUUGGAUGUAUCUGGAUUUCUGCAUCAGUUGGUCAUACAAUUAGAUCUGAUCUUCAUCCAAGUCACAACAAUAGACAAACACAGUCUGCUUUAACUAAUAACACACAAAGUAUUUCCCUCCCUCCUCUCUUAACUCCCCCUCUCCCGUCCUCUCCUCAGGCUAAGAUAGUGUGGAUGAAGAACAAGAUGAUCAUUGGGGAGGAUCCUAAAUUCUUGAUGCAGAACAACCAGGGGGUGUUGACCCUGAACAUCAGGAAGCCCGGCCAGUUUGACGGGGGCAAGUACUCCUGUAAGGCCAUCAACGACCUGGGGGAGGACGAGGUGGAGUGCAGGCUGGAAGUCCGAGGUACUGGCACACACACACACAGUCCUCUCUUUCAUGGUGAGUUUCUCUCUCUGCCCUCCCCAGUCUUAAAGGAGAAGAAAGAAGGAGACGAGGAGAAGAAAUGA